rnacentral:rRNA from 1 species
UGAGGAAUAUUGGUCAAUGGGCGUGAGCCUGAACCAGCCAAGUAGCGUGCAGGAAGACGGCCCUAUGGGUUGUAAACUGCUUUUAUGCGGGGAUAAAGGAGUCCACGUGUGGAUUUUUGCAGGUACCGCAUGAAUAAGGACCGGCUAAUUCCGUGCCAGCAGCCGCGGUAAUACGGAAGGUCCGGGCGUUAUCCGGAUUUAUUGGGUUUAAAGGGAGCGUAGGCCGCGUUUUAAGCGUGUUGUGAAAUGUAGACGCCCAACGUCUGCAUCGCAGCGCGAACUGGGACGCUUGAGUACGCGCAACGUUGGCGGAAUUCGUCGUGUAGCGGUGAAAUGCUUAGGUAUGACGAGGAACUCCGAUUGCGAAGGCAGCUGACGGGAGCGGCACUGACGCUUAAGCUCGAAGGUGCGGGUAUCAAACAGG